GACGAACGCUGGCGGCGUGCCUAAUACAUGCAAGUAGAACGCUGAAGGAGGAGCUUGCUUCUCUGGAUGAGUUGCGAACGGGUGAGUAACGCGUAGGUAACCUGCCUGGUAGCGGGGGAUAACUAUUGGAAACGAUAGCUAAUACCGCAUAAUAGUAGAUGUUGCAUGACAUUUACUUAAAAGGUGCAAUUGCAUCACUACCAGAUGGACCUGCGUUGUAUUAGCUAGUUGGUGGGGUAACGGCUCACCAAGGCGACGAUACAUAGCCGACCUGAGAGGGUGAUCGGCCACACUGGGACUGAGACACGGCCCAGACUCCUACGGGAGGCAGCAGUAGGGAAUCUUCGGCAAUGGACGAAAGUCUGACCGAGAAACGCCGCGUGAGUGAAGAAGGUUGUCGGAUCGUAAAGCUCUGUUGUAAGAGAAGAACGAGUGUGAGAGUGGAAAGUUCACACUGUGACGGUAUCUUACCAGAAAGGGACGGCUAACUACGUG
rnacentral:rRNA from 1 species